rnacentral:lncRNA from 1 species
AUGUGUAUAAGAGACAGGCCCGGGGCCGUCCCGGGGAAGGAGGCCGCCUGCCACAAGCAGCGCAGGAGCCCGGCACUUCUGACCUCCGUACCUCUUGGAGCCGGCUUUCCUGAUCGCAUCGGCUGGAGGAGGAGGGCGCUUCAGAUCGUCAGGGGCCCUGCCUUGGUCUCCAAGUCCAGGGACCCGUGUUUGUCAGUGCUGCUGAUGGAGAAGGCACUACCGCUGAGGGCCCCUGCUAUGCCAACCCCGGCCACAAGCAGCGCAAACACACGCACACACACGUGAACACACACGGAGACAUACAAGCAGACACACACACAUGCACACACACACACACACACGGAGACUAAGCCACGCAGGGAAAUCCAACAAUCGCAGGCAGCUCCUGAGGCUGUGUGGUUCUGCUCUGUUCCGGGAAGCCCCUCGGCGUUAGAGCAGCCCCGCAGCACACAGGCUGACCUUACCUUUAAUUCCCAGCGGGGACAGCCUUCAAGGAGACGCACCCCAAGAUCGUCUGGGCAGGCUUGAAUCAUGUAGGGGAUCCAUCGGGAUCCAUCGCCCUGGGCAUCCGUGACGGUCCGCUGGAACUUUUCUCAACCUGGUUCCGCCAUGCCGGACUCCGGAAAUCGUGGGACCGUGGUGACGAUCGCGUUGAGCGAGG